rnacentral:rRNA from 1 species
UGAGGCGAACCGGGGGAACUGAAACAUCUAAGUACCCCGAGGAAAAGAAAUCAACCGAGAUUCCCCCAGUAGCGGCGAGCGAACGGGGAGCAGCCCAGAGCCUGAAUCAGUGUGUGUGUUAGUGGAAGCGUCUGGAAAGGCGCGCGAUACAGGGUGACAGCCCCGUACACAAAAAUGCACAUAUUGUGAGCUCGAUGAGUAGGGCGGGACACGUGGUAUCCUGUCUGAAUAUGGGGGGACCAUCCUCCAAGGCUAAAUACUCCUGACUGACCGAUAGUGAACCAGUACCGUGAGGGAAAGGCGAAAAGAACCCCGGCGAGGGGAGUGAAAAAGAACCUGAAACCGUGUACGUACAAGCAGUGGGAGCACGCUUAGGCGUGUGACUGCGUACCUUUUGUAUAAUGGGUCAGCGACUUAUAUUCUGUAGCAAGGUUAACCGAAUAGGGGAGCCGAAGGGAAACCGAGUCUUAACUGGGCGUUAAGUUGCAGGGUAUAGACCCGAAACCCGGUGAUCUAGCCAUGGGCAGGUUGAAGGUUGGGUAACACUAACUGGAGGACCGAACCGACUAAUGUUGAAAAAUUAGCGGAUGACUUGUGGCUGGGGGUGAAAGGCCAAUCAAACCGGGAGAUAGCUGGUUCUCCCCGAAAGCUAUUUAGGUAGCGCCUCGUGAAUUCAUCUCCGGGGGUAGAGCACUGUUUCGGCAAGGGGGUCAUCCCGACUUACCAACCCGAUGCAAACUGCGAAUACCGGAGAAUGUUAUCACGGGAGACACACGGCGGGUGCUAACGUCCGUCGUGAAGAGGGAAACAACCCAGACCGCCAGCUAAGGUCCCAAAGUCAUGGUUAAGUGGGAAACGAUGUGGGAAGGCCCAGACAGCCAGGAUGUUGGCUUAGAAGCAGCCAUCAUUUAAAGAAAGCGUAAUAGCUCACUGGUCGAGUCGGCCUGCGCGGAAGAUGUAACGGGGCUAAACCAUG